UUUGCGCGAGCCGAGGCUGUCCGGAGUGGCUGUGGAGGCUGGGAGUCCUGGACCGCGUCCCCUCUCAUGCCGCUGUUAGGAGCCGAGCAGGGACGGACAGUAACGAGGAUAGGCUCUCACCCUGUGGCGUUAUUACGAUCCAUGGUGUCCGUCGUGGGACGGGCCGCCUUGCGCAGAGGUGUCGGCCGGGGCUGCGCGCUUUCCGAGGCCUUCGUCCCGGCUCUCUGGCCUCGUCCGCCUCCCGAGAUGGCACCCUGAUCCUUGUGCGCGUUUCUACAAGGGGGAGACUGGGGCUGGGAGGGCGACAGUCAUCCUGAGGUCGCCGCCCAUUGUGCGUGUGGGGGUUCGGCUCUUCUCACAGAACCCGCUCCGUUCCCCGGCUCCUCAACCCUCUUCUGCUCACAGGAUCCCAUGGCGGCCGCGGGGCUCAUAUAUGGCUGUACUUUUCUCCCAGGAGGAGUGGGGGCUCCUCGAUGAGGCUCAGAAAUGCCUGGACCACCACGUGAUGCUGGAGACCUUGGCGCUUCUGUCCUCACUGGAGCAAAGCUCUGGAGAUUAGCCUUUGUGGAGGAGAAAUCAGCCAGACAUGGAACCUCAUGCAUCCAGACAUCCUAGGGAAAUUCUCUUAAGUACCAAGAAGACUGGAAGAUUUCAGGAUGCACCUUGCACUUUCGGACCUGCCUGGAGUCCUUGGCAGAAAUAAGCUGCUGCCAGUAGCUGUUAUAGGAACCUUCCUCUACUGUAUACCAGGGGAUCACGGGGCUCAAGAAUCCUCCUUGAGGUGCUCAGAGAGGACAGAAAGCUCUGCCUUUCCUUCAUCUGGACGACUCACCAGUUGCUUGAUUUUGAGCUGCCCCUUUCCCUCCCCACUGAUUGUUUUUGGUGGGUUAUGACCCAGCUUUGGACAAGAGGACUCUAGCUGGCUUCUGCAAGUGGCUUAUGGAGAUUUCCCUUCUUAGUAUAUUUGAUUGACUUGUAAGAGUUGGGUUGGUUGAUUUUUUUCCACCCUGAGACUCACCCACCCCAGGACUGCCCAGCUCACCCUGCAGGUGUGUGUGGUGAUAAGGUUCUUAUAGAUGAAGGAUGUUUAUUCGUGGGAUGCUAUUUAAUAUCUGCUGUGGACGGACUGAGAGUAGAUACUCCCUGCUCUGCCAGAAUAAAAGAGUCAACAGAU